AUGCCCUCCCCUGCUCUCCCUUGUGCCAGCUUCCCUGGAAUGGUACUGCCUGAUAAAACAGUGCAGAAACUUCUCAGUGUUCUCCUUGUGGGGAACAUAAGCCAAGAGGCUUGUUUCCAGGGGAGGUUCUCGGAAGCAGACCCUUGUACUAGGACUUCGAGUUUGAUUAUUUACCCAAGUUUGGCCCAAGUCCAUCUCACAAUGAGGUCCAUGAGUGCAUGAAUUCACCCUGUAGGUUAUUUUCCUCCACCUUUUAAUAUAUAUUUUGGAUAGAUGCACUUUAUCAUUUGGUAGAAUUCACCUCGGUGGCUUCUGAACCUGUGAUUUAAGGUUGAUUAUGGUAUAAAUGGCCAAGUGGAAACACUUGAAACUCACCACUGUAUCAUGGAAAGCCCUGUAGAGAACUGUACCUAUACCAAAAACUUAAGAGGGUACAUGAUCAUUUUCCCCCAUCAAGUCCCCAUUGAUUUCUCUUUGUCUCUAUAAAAACUUACAUGUCUAAAGCAAGUGGAUGUGGUAAAUUUAAAAAUUACUCCAAAUUGUGAGUUAAGUAAACUUAUUUUCUUUAUAAAUUUCCC
rnacentral:lncRNA from 1 species